GACGAACGCUGGCGGCGUGCUCAACACAUGCAAGUCGAACGGAAAGGCCCUGCUUUUGUGGGGUGCUCGAGUGGCGAACGGGUGAGUAACACGUGAGUAACCUGCCCUUGACUUUGGGAUAACUUCAGGAAACUGGGGCUAAUACCGGAUAGGAGCUCCUGCUGCAUGGUGGGGGUUGGAAAGUUUCGGCGGUUGGGGAUGGACUCGCGGCUUAUCAGCUUGUUGGUGGGGUAGUGGCUUACCAAGGCUUUGACGGGUAGCCGGCCUGAGAGGGUGACCGGCCACAUGGGAAUGGAGAUACGGCCCAGACUCCUACGGGAGGCAGCAGUGGGGAAUAUGCACAAUGGGCGGAAGCCUGAUGCAGCAACGCCGCGUGCGGGAUGACGGCCUUCGGGUUGUAAACCGCUUUCGCCUGUGACGAAGCGUGAGUGACGGUAAUGGGUAAAGAAGCACCGGCUAACUACGUG
rnacentral:rRNA from 1 species